rnacentral:rRNA from 1 species
AUUGAACGCUGGCGGCAGGCCUAACACAUGCAAGUCGAACGAGUGGCGGACGGGUGAGUAAUGUCUGGGAAACUGCCUGAUGGAGGGGGAUAACUACUGGAAACGGUAGCUAAUACCGCAUACAAUCGGAUGUGCCCCGAUGGGAUUAGCUAGUAGGUGGGGUAAAGGCUCAACUAGGCGACGAUCCCUAGCUGGUCUGAGAGGAUGACCAGCCACACUGUACCUUGGACACGGUCCAGACUCCUACGGGAGUCAGCAGGGGGGAAUAUUGCACCAUGUGCUCAAGCCUUAUGCAGCCAUGACGCGUGUAUGAAGAAGGCCUUCGGGUUGUAAAGUACUUUCAGCGGGGAGGCGUUACCCGCAGAAGAAGCACCGGCUAACUCCGUGCCAGCAGCCGCGGUAAUUC